UUCGCCUUAGGUAGCAGAUUAAUUAGCCAACUUUGGGCGCCCCCAACUUCCAUGGUGUGACGGGCGGUGUGUACAAGACCCGGGAACGCAUUCACCGCGACAUGCUGAUUCGCGAUUACUAGCAACUCCGACUUCAUGCAGGCGAGUUGCAGCCCGCAAUCCGAACUGGGAUCGGUUUUGGUGAUUUGCUCUGCCUCGCGACUUUGCGUCUCAUUGUACCGACCAUUGUAGCACGUGUGUAGCCCAGAACAUAAGGGGCAUGAUGAUUUGACGUCAUCCCCACCUUCCUCCGAGUUGACCUCGGCAGUCUCGCCAGAGUCCUCAACUAAAUGUUAGUAACUGACGACAAGGGUUGCGCUCGUUGCGGGACUUAACCCAACAUCUCACGACACGAGCUGACGACAACCAUGCACCACCUGUCACCUCUGCCCGAAGGGGGAUCUCGGUUAAGAGAUCUUUCAGAGGGAUGUCAAGCCCUGGUAAGGUUUUUCGCGUUGCUUCGAAUUAAACCACAUGCUCCGCUGCUUGUGCGGGUCCCCGUCAAUUCCUUUGAGUUUUAGUGUUGACACCGUACUCCCCAGGCGGAGCACUUAUUGCGUUAACUGCGUCACUGAAUCCAUUCGGACCCAACAACUAGUGCUCAUCGUUUACGGCGUGGACUACCAGGGUAUCUAACCCUGUUUGCUCCCACGCUUUCGUGCCUCAGUGUCAGUUACUGUCCAGAAAGCCGCUUCGCCACCGUGUUCUUCCAAUAUCUACGCAUUUACCGCUAACUGGGAUUCCGCUUUCCCUCCAGCACUAAGUACCAAUUCCAGGCAAA
rnacentral:rRNA from 1 species